GUAGGUGGCAAGCGUUGUCCGGAAUUAUUGGGCGUAAAGCGCGCGCAGGCGGUUUUUUAAGUCUGAUGUGAAAGCCCACGGCUCAACCGUGGAGGGUCAUUGGAAACUGGAGAACUUGAGUACAGAAGAGGAAAGCGGAAUUCCACGUGUAGCGGUGAAAUGCGUAGAGAUGUGGAGGAACACCAGUGGCGAAGGCGGCUUUCUGGUCUGUAACUGACGCUGAGGCGCGAAAGCGUGGGGAGCAAACAGGGAUUAGAUACCCUGGUAGUCCACGCCGUAAACGAUGAGUGCUAAGUGUUAGGGGGUUUCCGCCCCCUUAGUGCUGCAGCUAACGCAUUAAGCACUCCGCCUGGGGAUACGGCCGCAAGGCUG
rnacentral:rRNA from 1 species